GGUAUGUUGGUUGUGCAUUAAGGG
rnacentral:siRNA from 1 species